GUCACUUCUUGGCCUUUUGGCUAAGAUCAAGUAUAGUAUCUGUUCUUAUCAGAGAGGGAAGGGAGAGUUGAUUUUUGAGCUAUGUUUGAUUCUAAUAAUAAAUAAUACUAUGUACAAAUAUUUCAUCACCAAAAACACCAGUUGGAACAAAAAAACUCAUU
rnacentral:snRNA from 1 species